AUUGAACGCUGGCGGCAUGCCUUACACAUGCAAGUCGAACGGCAGCAUGAUAUAGCUUGCUAGAUUGAUGGCGAGUGGCGCACGGGUGAGUAAUACACCGGAACGUGCCCUGUUGUGGGGGAUAACUAGUCGAAAGAUUAGCUAAUACCGCAUACGACCUGAGGGUGAAAGUGGGGGACCGCAAGGCCUCAUGCUAUAGGAGCGGCCGAUGUCUGAUUAGCUAGUUGGUGCGGUAAAGGCUCACCAAGGCGACGAUCAGUAGCUGGUCUGAGAGGACGAUCAGCCACACUGGGACUGAGACACGGCCCAGACUCCUACGGGAGGCAGCAGUGGGGAAUUUUGGACAAUGGGCGAAAGCCUGAUCCAGCAAUGCCGCGUGUGUGAAGAAGGCCUUCGGGUUGUAAAGCACUUUUGUCCGGAAAGAAAUGGCUCUGGUUAAUACCUGGGGUCGAUGACGGUACCGGAAGAAUAAGGACCGGCUAACUACGUG
rnacentral:rRNA from 1 species